UAGCUCUGGUCUCUCUUCAAAACGUAUAAUUCUUUCGCCUUUUACUAAAGAAUUCCGUGGAGAGGGACACUCUUAUGAGUAUUUGAAUUUUUCUGUAGCUCCACACGGAGCAG
rfam:Oikopleura dioica, whole genome shotgun assembly, reference scaffold set, scaffold scaffold_13